rnacentral:rRNA from 1 species
GAUCAUGGCUCAGGAUGAACGCUGGCGGCGUGCCUAACACAUGCAAGUCGAACGAAGAACUACCUUGAUCCUCGGGUGAAAGGUUGUGACUGAGUGGCGGACGGGUGAGUAACGCGUGGGUAACCUGCCCUGUACAGGGGGAUAACAGUUAGAAAUGACUGCUAAUACCGCAUAAGCGCACGAAGCAGCAUUGUUUUGUGUGAAAAACUCCGGUGGUACAGGAUGGGCCCGCGUCUGAUUAGCUUGUUGGCGGGGUAAAGGCCCACCAAGGCGACGAUCAGUAGCCGGUCUGAGAGGAUGAACGGCCACAUUGGAACUGAGACACGGUCCAAACUCCUACGGGAGGCAGCAGUGGGGAAUAUUGCACAAUGGGGGGAACCCUGAUGCAAGCAACGCCGCGUGGGUGAAGAAGUAUUUCGGUAUGUAAAGCCCUAUCAGCAGGGAAGAUGAUGACGGUACCUGACUAAGAAGCUCCGGCUAAAUACGUGCCAGCAGCGGC